UGCGGUGGCGGGUUUUUGUGGGUGCUCGCUAACAGCACUUGCCCCAACAGGCUGCUGAGGCUACACGCGGGGGGAACUUUGCCUUUAAUACAAUCUACGUCACCUUGCGAUGUUGCUUGGUAGGGGUAGGGGUGAUGUGUUUAUUAGUUAAACUCUGGAUUUGUGGGGUUGGUAUAGGUUAGCAGUGGGGUAGCAUAGAGGCGUGCGCGACAUCACCACUGCGCAGCUGUAAACAAAUGAUAAUGACACUAAAACGAAAUGUACAGCCCCUGCUGAAGUCCUCAACAAACACCGUCGCGCGGGCUGCAUUGUCGCCAUACUUCACCACCGUGGUCAUAGCGGAGAUGCCGCAGGUCACGUAAAACACACGCGGAGCAGUGCGGACGGGAGGAGGAGUGGUGAAGGAGUGGUGGAGGAGGAGGAGCAGCAGCAGCGGUUAACGAACCGCGCAACGAUCCCCGCCACCUGAGUUCGACUCCCGGCAACGAAGGGACGUUGAUCGUAACGCACACUUGCGCGAGAGGACACAUUGGGAAACACGGAGACACAGAUACACUAUCACAACGCUGGCCGCCUUUGUCUACCCAGUGGCACCGGCUACCCAGGUAAGGCUGAGUCGACCGAGGGACAGGCACACGAAUAUAUGGAGGGACAAACACACAGAGAGACACACUGAUACAUCGAGGGACUUAGAGAGACACAGUGGGACACACGCGGAGAGACGAAGAGGCUUUCACGGGAUGUACGGGUGGAGAAUGUCCACAG